rnacentral:rRNA from 1 species
CAAUAGCGUAUAUUAAAGUUGUUGCAGUUAGAACGCUCGUAGUCGGAUUUCGGGGCGUUCCGACCGGUCUGCCGAUGGGUAUGCACUGGCCGGAGUGUCCUUUUUGCCGGAGACCGUGCCUACUCUUAACUGAGCGGGGGCGGGAGACGGCACUUUUACUUUGAAAAAAUCAGAGUGUUUCAAGCAGGCAGCUCGCUCUUGCAUGGAUUAGCAUGGGAUAAUGAAAUAGGACUUUGGUGCUAUUUUGUUGGUUUCGAACACCGAAGUAAUGAUUAACAGGGACAGUCAGGGGCACUCGUAUUCCGCCGAGAGAGGUGAAAUUCUCAGACCAGCGGAAGACGAACUACUGCGAAAGCAUUUGCCAGGGAUGUUUUCACUGA